GAAGAAUUCUCAGGCUGCCUAUUAGAAGACAGAAACUCCAUACGCGUCAUACACCUGCACCCGGGAGGAAAGGCGAGGCUCUGCAUCUAGAUUUACCUCGUUCUCUUUUGUCUCCGCUUUUUUUUCACAUUUCCUUGCGACCCUGGCCCUUGAGCGACAAAAAGGGGAAGCCAAGGCUGGCCCGAGGAACGGAGAGGGCACAUGGCCUAGCCACAAGUGGAGCUUCUGCUCCGCCCGAAGGGAUGCGCUGGAGCGGCCUCUUCCUUCUGCCACGGUCUUUCUUUGCCAACUAGUAGUAGAGAUGGGGUUUCACCAGGUUAGCCAGGCUGGUCUUGAACUCCAGACCUCAAGGGAUCCGCCUGCCUCAGCUUUCCAAAGUGCUGGGAUUACAGGUGGAGACUGGACCUCAGAAGAGGGAGUGGGUGCCCCGAGAACUCACAGCUAGCGGACAGUGGAAAGGGCAGGAGCCGGACCAAGGUGAGGACAGUGGAACUGAAGGCCGCUGGUUACCUCUCCUGCCCUCCGCUGGCCACAGUGGAGAAGACAGCCCCUCCCUCCUGCUCUGACCUGACAGUGUUCAUCCAUCGCCCUGUAUUAGCGAAGAACAACAUCAAGCUGGCUAGCAAGGAACUGUAUACAGGGUCCAGCUGGGUAUCACACUGGAUCUCACCCAAAGCUUAGAUGUGAUCCAGCUCAGUAUCACAAAGCAGAACGAAAAGGAUGUGUUUGGGCUGAGAGGCCAUACAUUGGCUCCGGCAUGACGGGUGACUUCUUCCGAGUCUGGCUUCUGCAGCACACAGGGCUUCGCCAGCACCCAGCUCCUGCAGCAUGGGCAGCUCCUGUGACAGCAGGCGCCCGCAGCCUGCAAAGCGUCUCCAGUGCCGCCGCCUCAGUGAACCUCAACCAGCGGCACCUAGCAGCUUUCUCUGCCACCCUCUUCAGGUCUGGAUCUAAGCCCAGGGACCAGGAAACCUCUUGCUUGAGUGCUGGAACUCAGGCCAGAAGGUAUGGCUGCUGCUAUGUGCUGUGACCAGAGAAUCAGAGUUCUCUUUACUUCUUACCAGCCAACCUCUUGAAAAUGCCUUUUUGUUUUUUGUUUUUUUUUGAGACGGAGUCUCGCUCUGUUGCCCAGGCAGUGCAGUGGCUCACUGCAACCUCCGCCUCCUGAGUUCAAGUGAUUCUCCUGCCUCAGCCUCACAAGUAGGUGGGAUUACAGGCAUGUGCCACCACGCCCAGCUAAUUUUGUAUUUUUAGUAGUGACGGGGUUUCUCCAUGUUGGUCAGGUUGGUCUCAAACUCUCGACCUCAGGUGAUCCACCUGUCUCAGCCUCCCAAAGUGCUGGGAUUACAGACGUUAGCCAGAGCGCCCAGUCUAAGCCCUUUAUAGCUUAAUUCUAUAUAUUAAAUUUUCCCAGUUCAAAUUACUGUGUGCUUCCCUUCUCCUGAUUGGACCUUGCUUGAUACAAAAUUAGUACAAGGAGUGGUCUCAAGAGAUAGAUGCACAAAGAAGGGAUAUGGGGACGGAUUUGGGUAUUUGGGCUUGAGUGCAGACUGAGCUCCUUGACAAUGAGAAAUAGGAUAUGUAUUAGGGUUCUCCAGAAACAGAAUAACAGAAUCUAUAUAUACAUGUGUAUGUGUGUGUAUAUAUAUAUAUAUAGAGAGAGAGAGAGAGAGCUUUUAUGUGUGUGUAUAUGUAUAUAUAUAAACACACACACACUAAGGUAUUGCCUCACAUGAUUAUGGCAGUCGAGAAGCCCCACAAUCUGCUAUCUGCAAGCUGGAGACCCAAGGUCAGUGGUGCAGCAUUUUUUUUUCAGAUGGGGUCUCCCUCUGUUGCCCAGGCUGGACU
rnacentral:lncRNA from 10 species